UACGUAGGAGACGAGCGUUGUCCGGAAUUACUGGGCGUAAAGCGCGUGUAGGCGGAUGAGCAAGUCUGCUGUGAAAGCUCCUGGCUUAACCGGGAGUGGUCGGUGGAAACUGCCCGUCUGGAGGACGGUAGAGGUAGGUAGAAUUCCCGGUGUAGUGGUGAAAUGCGUAGAGAUCGGGAGGAAUACCUGUGGCGAAGGCGGCCUACUGGGCCGGACCUGACGCUGAGACGCGAAGGCGUGGGGAGCGAACGGG
rnacentral:rRNA from 1 species